rfam:Necator americanus N_americanus-1.0_Cont4.223, whole genome shotgun sequence.
UCAGUUGUGAGACUGGGUGCGAAGGAAUCUUGAAGCAAUUUAUUAUGGAAAUUUUUGUGGAAAGCAAUAAUUUAUUGUGGAAAUCUCCCGCUGGACCUUACAUAACAAAGUGAAGGUCCAGCGGGAGAUUUCCACAAUAAAUUAUUUUUGGAAUGGUGGAGAUGGAACA